rnacentral:lncRNA from 1 species
AUGGUGGCUGGCUCACAAUCAUAUACUUGAUUCUACAUAAUCUGAAAUCUAUAUAACUCCCGUUGUACCUGCUUACAGUCCCUGGGCACCAAGCCUAACCAAGUUGUACAUACAAACAUGAAGGAAAAAUACAUAUAAAUUUUUUAAAAAUUAAAAAACCUACAAUUCCUUUUUUUUUUCAACAGUAAAUUGAAUUUUCAAGUUAAUGAACACAAACUAUUUUGAAAAAAAUUUUAAACAUCUAGGGCUAGAAAUGGCUCAGCAGGUAAAGAUGUUUGCGUGCAAGCUAGAUGGACUUCAGUCUCGAGACCCACAUGGUAGUAGGGAAGACACUGACUUUCCCCUAUGACCUCCACAUUCAUUCAGUGGCAUGUGUGUGCUCCACCCACUAAGUAUGUAAGAAAGGGGGUGGGGAACCUAAAUUCGGUCGUGUCAAAAAUUAUUUUUAGCCAAGAAUGGUGAUGUUUGUCUGUAAUACCAGUACGUAGGAAGCUGAGCCAGAAUAUAAGUUCAGAGCCAGUCUGGGGUCAUAUUCUAUAGUAUUUCAAGCAGAAACAGAAGCCAGGAAUUACUUUUGGGGCUGAGGAUUUACCUAGAUAAUAGAUAAUAGAGUAUUUGAUAUCCUGGGUUCAACUCCCAGCCUGCAUAAAGCUAGGUGUGGGGGCACAUUCAAGGGAAGUGCCCUCGGAUGAGAAUCAGAAGUGUGGUGGCACAUAACUUUAGUUCCAGCACUUAGGGGGCAGAGGAAGGGAGAUCUCUGAGUUUGAGGCCAGCUUGCUCAUGGGGCUAUCUCAAAAAACCUUAAAAAAGUCCAAGGCUUGUUCAGCCUGUGUACAAGGAAACAGUGUAAGGAAAAAAUACAAAACAUUAACAAAAAAACCCAAACCAGUUUUUUUGCACAGUGAUCUUUACCAGCCAGACGUGGUGCUCAGAGCUGAGAAUGCGAACUACUUCUCUUUGCUUUGACUUAAAGCUCCUUUUCUUCGUGGUCUCUUCAGGAGCUGAACACCUAGAGCCUGCACAUGCUUGCAGGCUGUCUGCCACUGACUUACAUUCUUUAGCGUGACUGUUUUGAGACAGUCUCUGUGUGUAACUACGGCUGGCUGUGGGCUCCCAGCUCUCUAGUCUCUGCCUGCAGAGUUGUGUGCAGUCUCCCUCUCUAGUCUCUGCCUGCAGAGCUCUGUGCAGUCUCUCCCUUAUGUGGUUGUUGGGAUGCCUUCUUGUUUUAUAACUGUCUCUGUCUGUCGCUAGUGUGCCACAUUGUGCCUGUUGAGAUCAGGGGACAGCUGUGGGGUCCAUUUUCUCCUUCUGCUGUUAUGUGGCUUCCAGGGAUCAAACUCAAGCCACAGACUGAAGCAGUGAGUGCUCUACCCACUGAGCUACCUUACCAGCCUGUGGGAUGUUUUGGGUUUUUUUUUUUUGUUUUUGUUUUUCUUUUUAAGAUUUAUAUCUCUAUUUUUUAAAUAUGUAUUGGUGUUUUGCCCGUGUGGAUUAUGUGUGCCAUGUGUAUGCAUGCCUGUGAGAGCAGAGGUAGGUAUCAGACUCCCUGGGCCUGAAGUUACAGGUGAUCAUGAGCUAUCGUGUGGAUGCUUGGAACUGAACAAGUGCUUUUAAACACUGAGUUCUUUCUCUAACCUUUGAUUCUUAUUUUUAAAAGCAACGUGAAUUUUCAGGUAUAGCCAGAAUAAUGAGCAAAAACCAAUAUGGAACUAUAAUUUGGCACUAAUUAAACUAAUUUUUCC